UUGGCAUUCUGUCCACCUCCACUGCGCAUCGACCAAUUCAAAAAAAAAAAAAAAAAAAAAAAGGUACAAGGAAAGGAGGUGGGCAUACUGUCAACA
rnacentral:pre_miRNA from 1 species